rnacentral:rRNA from 1 species
GACGAACGCUGGCGGCGUGCCUAAUACAUGCAAGUCGAGCGAAUCUUGAGGUGCUUGCACCUCUUGAUUAGCGGCGGACGGGUGAGUAACACGUGGGCAACCUGCCUGUAAGACUGGGAUAACUUCGGGAAACCGGAGCUAAUACCGGAUAAUUCUUUCCCUCUCAUGAGGGAAAGCUGAAAGACGGUUUCGGCUGUCACUUACAGAUGGGCCCGCGGCGCAUUAGCUAGUUGGUGAGGUAACGGCUCACCAAGGCGACGAUGCGUAGCCGACCUGAGAGGGUGAUCGGCCACACUGGGACUGAGACACGGCCCAGACUCCUACGGGAGGCAGCAGUAGGGAAUCUUCCGCAAUGGACGAAAGUCUGACGGAGCAACGCCGCGUGAGCGAUGAAGGCCUUCGGGUCGUAAAGCUCUGUUGUUAGGGAAGAACAAGUAUCGGAGUAACUGCCGGUACCUUGACGGUACCUAACCAGAAAGCCACGGCUAACUACGUGCCAGCCGCCGCAGUAAAAC